rnacentral:lncRNA from 1 species
CAGGAGACGAUAGUGGAAAGAUGGUGGAAACUGAGGUUUUGUUUGAAACUGCUAGUGAAGGAGACUGAGGUGGCAAGAGUCAGGACUGUCCAGCGUGUCUCCUAUCUGGAGGCGGUAAGAAGAUUGGAAGGAACGAGUGGCGGGGAAGAAACAAUGGUAGUAGAGCCUCCACGACCAGUGAAGGUUUCUCAUCAACCGAGUGAAAGUGAAAUGCUUCAUGUUAAAAGCCGAGGCCGUGCAAGAAAUCCUGUUGGUGAAUGUUCGAGCCAUCACAGGACCCUGAGCCGUCUGGUGGUGGUAAUGCACCAUUAAUAUUGGAUGCCAACUGCCGUUAAACCCCAUCGAAGAAAAAGAAGAUAAGAGGGGAGGGACCUCAGGGACCGUCAUGGCCCGCCCAUCUCUGGGGAAAACAACCGGUGGUUACCUAGGUUAUCCCAUAGCAAAAAGUUGACCUUUUUCAAACGCCAGUUUAUUGUUAUCUGCUUGUUUUAGUCAAUUACACAACUGCAUUUUCCAUGUCUAAAGAUUACUUUUCUAUAAAAACGAAGAGAGUUGCACACUCCAUUUAACCUACCAGUAAUUUAUUGGGCAAAAAAAAUACCAAUGUUUCGGCAUCACUGUGCCUUCUUCAGCGUAGUCAGCACCUCUACACUAAAUCAUUUUCUCUGGGUGUGCGCCAGCUCAUGCUUUUAAUAAAGACUACUUUUCAACAUUA